rnacentral:rRNA from 1 species
GAUGAACGCUGGCGGCGUGCCUAAUACAUGCAAGUCGAGCGAACAGACGAGGAGCUUGCUCCUCUGACGUUAGCGGCGGAAGGGUGAGUAACACGUGGAUAACCUACCUAUAAGACUGGGAUAACUUCGGGAAACCGGAGCUAAUACCGGAUAAUAUAUUGAACCGCAUGGUUCAAUAGUGAAAGACGGUUUUGCUGUCACUUAUAGAUGGAUCCGCGCCGCAUUAGCUAGUUGGUAAGGUAACGGCUUACCAAGGCAACGAUGCGUAGCCGACCUGAGAGGGUGAUCGGCCACACUGGAACUGAGACACGGUCCAGACUCCUACGGGAGGCAGCAGUAGGGAAUUUUCCGCAAUGGGCGAAAGCCUGACGGAGCAACGCCGCGUGAGUGAUGAAGGUCUUCGGAUCGUAAAACUCUGUUAUUAGGGAAGAACAAAUGUGUAAGUAACUAUGCACGUCUUGACGGUACCUAAUCAGAAAGCCACGGCUAACUACGUG